ACAAUAUAUCUAUUGAUCUGACAUGUUAAUUUGGGAUUUAGUUUUCUCUCGUUCUUCUAGGAUUUGUCGCCACAUGAUUUAAGCUUGGGCGGUGGGUAGCACAUAAAAUGCAUGCCCGCCACAUGUUCGCUAUAUUGCUGUAGUAGGAUUUUAGAUUUUUCGUUCUACCUUGGAUGCACUGAAUACCUGACAUGUUGUGAAAUAAUUAAGUACGGAAUACUGAGGCUGUAUGAUCUAUUAACAACAUGAAUUGUUUUUACAUUUUUUCAUCCUUACUGGAUGUUGAGCAUGGCUUGAUUAUAUUUGGCAUUAGCACCAUCGGCGUGUAUGCAAAAUCCUCUUUUCUCUCAAUUAUGGUUAAUGAUAUUGUAUGAUACAUAAAAAUUGAGAUAUGAGGGCACUCUUGAAUAACAUAAAAGUUCAAGUAUGAUUGUUAGAAAAGUACAAAAAUGAAUGUCUCAAAUAACAUAAAAAAAUAUGUGUUAAAUGCCUUAGACGUGAGUCCUCUAAAGCUAAUUAAUAGUCUGUAUAAUAGCAAACUUUAAGAUGUCUUUCAUUUCCUUAUCUUAUUUCAGUGAGAAUUCCUCCAAUAAACUGAUGUUCUUAUUUCAGUGACACACUUAGUUUAGUUCCCAUAUUUUACUUCAGUUCAAUAGAUAAAUUAUAAGAAGUAAAAAAUAACUCCUUGACUGUACCGAUUUGCAGCAGUGUAGUUUGCUUCCUUUAAAAUUCAGUUAGUUCACCUCGGCCAGCAACUCCCGCGCCAAAGCCGCCCUGAGGGCGUACAGGACGGCGACGUGUUCGAGGACUGCGACUGGUGGCAGAUACAACUAAAUUCAGGGUGUUCUUAUGCUCUUUUCUUUUUAAGUGCGUUCAAUAAAGUCAUCUUGAAAAUGCUAAAAGAGAGUUGUAGUCUUCUCCCUCAACAAAAGUUUGGAUUCUAAAGGCCAUUGACAAAAAAAGCUCCGGACGCCUCCCUCCGAGAUCCGGCCGCCUUCCCCCUGAGGUCCCAUGGACGCACCGCCACCUCCCAACCCCUCCUUCCGCAAGGUAGCGCUCUGGGCCGCCCUCCUCACCGCGGUGGCCCUGCUGGCCGUUGGCGGCGGAAGCUGGGUGGCGGGUGCUGGCAUGCUUCUUCUCCGGCGAGGACGCCGUGCUACACCGGCGCCGCCACACAUCUUCUGUUCUCGCUAGUAUAUUUCCUGUAGCAGUUCUUCAGUGCACACAAAAAAGACUAGCAUUUCAAUUACUAUCAAUUACUAAAUUCUUCAGUUCAGUUCAAUUACUGAAAUUAUUUCAGUUCAAUUCUUUUAAUAAGUUUCAUUUCGAAUAUAUUAUUUCUGUUCAAUUCAGUUUAGUUCGAUGUAAUGCAAAAAUUCUGAAACUGCUAGAUCCGUGUGAGUAUUUUGGGUUAGGGUAAUGCAUGGCUGACUAAUUGUUUUAUUGUUGUACUAAUGGCCGUUUGUGUGCAGUGCUAAUGGCAGUACAUUUUGGGUUAGGGUAAUGGAUGUCUGACCAAAGAAAUUAUUGUUGUACUAAUACCUCUUAUUGGAAUUGGGGCUGCAACUAAAGUAGCAAACACGACUACGUGAGAAGGGUGAGAAUUAGUGGGAGCAGGGUAUGGAUGAGGAAGGAGCACCAGUAUCUUCAAUGUUGCUGUUGUUUCGUUUCCAUCCCUCUCACGUGUGCAGAAUUUUGUUGGAGCUGGAUGAGACUUUUGCCGUUCCCCUUGUACUCCUUCAUAUAAUCAGUUCAUGUUUUCAAACCAUGUAAGGUCAACCUCCUGGGAUACACGAAGUUUCAGUUCGUCGAGAGGCUUCCUGGAGCUUCAAAACAUUUCACUUCAACUUUUUAGGCUUUUUCAGUACAUCUUACAAAGUGUGUAAGCUCCCUGGAGUAGCGCCUUCGACGCUUGCCCUGCUUCAGCAGUCGUCAUCGUGAGGAUUAGCUACCGUCUAUUUGGCACGGGACCUACCUACGAUGGUCCCAUCUAUUGUGAGUUCGUGUGUGUAUUGUGUUGCCCUCGAGCUGUAUGAGAGGCCGCCCGCGGAGCCGAGGAAGUCGUCGAUCUGGUCGAGG